GAAAACGAUGAAGCAAAUGACGAUACGACGGUGUCGUCGAAAGAGUGCGAAGAUGCCUCUUACAAAACAGCCUAUUCGACAGAAUUUUGCAAGGAUGUCUCUGACGAGACAAUCUCUCUGGUAUAGUAAACUGUAAAUUUUCAAUAAUUUCCCUUUAGUUCUAAAAUUGUAGACCAACUAACACAACUGUAGAAAAGCUUUUGUUACAAAAAGUGGCAUAUAUCCAUAUAUUCCUGUUCUGGCGUAUCGAGCUACUUUGAAAUUGAUUGUUUCCUGUGAACUAUAACAUUCAUAUAUGAAUAUUGCCCCUCAGCAGUGUUUUUUAUGUUUCCUGUUCUUAUUUGUAUUAUAGAAAGAAAGAAUUGUACUAUUACUAUCUGAACUUAAUCUUAGUUGCUUAAGAUUCUCAAAUAACCAUUUUUAUGUCUUAGACCAAACAAAAUCCAUGUCAAACCACUAAAACCUAUUGCAAAGGGUAUUUCUUAUGUGAGUUUGAAUUAGGUGCAUUUUUUUUACUAACUUAUUUUCAGAUUUUUUGUGUGUUGGUACAAUGUAUAAAGUAAA